AGCUCACUGGACAAUCUUGGGCCAGCCAUUCUCUCUCAGCCUUGUCUACCUCACAGGGCUCUUGUGAGGAGGGAAUAAGAGACUGAUGAUGCGCUCAGAGCUCCUGGAAGGAAGGGUGAAGCAAAGAUGUAACAGAAUAUCCUAUAAUAAGCAAGGUAAGUGAGCUGUAGUCUGGCUGCCACUUACUAAUGCUCAUUGUUGCACUCCAUGUGCAAAAAUAUGCGAAAGAUAAGAGUUCAUGACCCCAGCGUGCUCUGAUGAAUCAUGGGGUUGGAGAAAGUAAAAGUUCUGCUGCUCAGGAUUUUCAUGAGGGUGGCUGUUAUGAGUUGCAAAUACAGCCUAAACAAUUAUAGAGUGUGUCAUCGCCGUUUUCUUAUCCUGGGGCAAGGUGCGUCAAGCUCUGCUAAGUUUGUUCCUCCUUGCACUAAUGCAUUUCUGUGUUAUCCUUUGGGGUGCAUACAUUCAAAGAGCAGUGCAUAGAUCACAGUACAAGGUGCGAGAAGAGCAGGGCAGGGAAUAAUCAAGCAGCAAACCAUUGCAGUGUGGUGAUGUAGACUUUUUUUUUGCUGUGUCAGCUCUAGGCACCAAGGAUCAGGUCCCUCAGGAGAUGCAUUGAAGUCUUCAGAUCCAAAACAUCCAGGCCUCUUUCCUCUGCCUGCUGAUGUGGGACAUUACUGCAGCCAAGCCACCAAUUCAUGUUUUGCUAUAUAGGUAUAUAAAGCAGCUAAAGCUCACAGAGCUCUCCUGUAAAAUUUGCUAGAGAGAACUAUAUGAGAUAGUUAUUUGACUACUACAUUGGCUAGAAGCUGUAACAGCUUCUUUCCUGGGCAUCUGUCUCUUUCUUCAUCAUACUUCUAAGCUGACCACACAUGCAUGUCUGAGCUCUGCAGCUCAGAGAGCAUUUUUGAACUUACAUUUUGUACAUUUGUAACUUACAUAGCGGUUAUCAACCUGCCUUUAUUUUGCUAUUGUAAUUGUUCCCUCAAGGCCUAAAUUAUGUAAGUAAAUACUAGUUUUAGUUCUUCACAAAACUGUGUGAUUAUUAUUUUUAAGGGGGUGAGGGGAAAGACCAAGGAAAAUUCAGUCUGCCUUAAAGCAUCCUGGAUUAUUGUGCUAGAAGCUUAAAUCAACAUUGUCUUAGCUUCCAAGUUGAAGUUGCAAAGGAUGGUCCUAUGCUGAUCUCACUAAUGUGAGCAAGGAAGGAUAAUAACUAAGCAAUAUAUCUUCUCCUACAGCGGCCACGGGUAGUUUCAUGCCCACUUGGGCACAGCUUGGUUCUCCCACCACUGUUCUAGACUGCCAUGUUAGCUAGCAGGCAAGAACUCUUCUCUGUCAGUAGAUCUGCUUGGCACAACAGGUUCCUUGGCUUGUAAGCAGAUGAGGUCAGGGUUCAUAUUCCUUGGAAUAGAUGUCCUCAGAGAUGUCCCAUUUCCCCAAAGAUGGAGUCCUAAUUAGGGACUUUCCUGGACUGGCUGUUCUGGCAUAUAUUCCAGAAGAGAAAGAGAGAGCUGAUGAGGAUGCAGUGAGCAGCAUACUGGAGUGUCAGCCUCUACUCCCUGGGCUUUUCCAAUGGUGGCUAGGGGAGAUCUGUUACAUGCACUGUGCACAGAGCUUACCUGAGUCUAUGUCCUUUCUGUCUUACAGCUCUUAAGAUGUCCAGCCAUCAAAUCAGAACGUAAACUUAAUUGAAAGGCUUGAAACCAAAUAGGUGACUCAAGUUUCACACUGGGAGAGCAGAGUGCAGCAUUUCAGCAAGAAGAGUGGUAGAAGAUAAAGAGAAAAGCCUACUCUUUAUGCUGCUUUCCCAUGACAGUGUUGGUAUAGUGAAGCAUCAGGGAAAUAUUGUAUCUAUUCACCACAUUUAAAUCCUACCUUUCUUCCAAGGAGCUCAAGGCAGAAUGCAUAGUCUGCCUCUGCUUUUUAUCCUUGCCAUCUGUGUAGUAGGCUAAGAUCAGAUAUACCGUAUGUAAUAACUCGCCCAAGGUCACCCAGUGAAUUUUAUAACUGAGGGGGCAUUUGGCUCUGAGUCUCCCCAGUCCUAGCCUGAUCCUCCAAUUCAUUCAUUGAAUUCAUUUAUUUGAUUUCCUAAAGAUUUCCAUGGCAGUGCCACACUGCUAUGCCACACUGACUGCGCCACAUCACACCAUGCCGGCUCUCACAUUGCAGCAGGUCUGGCAAGUUUCUAUCAAGAACUCCAGUAUCUUCAGGCUGACUCGUGUGUAGGGAUGGGGGGAAUUCAUCUGACUUGGCACACCUACUGAACUUCUACUUUCUGAAACAAUUUGUGAACUGACAAACAGCCACCCUUCAAAAUUCACACAAGCACCCCUCCGCACCAUCCCAACACAUAUCCCUGCAACUAUACAACCUCCCCCCUGCAAACACACCCUGUAUUCUCCUGUACACAGAAUGCAACCACACCACAUGCUCUUGCAGCCACAAAUGUCAUGGAACUACAUAUGCAAAACGUUUUAGGUGCUUCAUAAAGCAAAACUCCAGGCUCUCCAUAUGGAUCUGGGUCUGAAAGACCAAGGGAAAAUGUGGGUACAUGGAGGGUAGGUUAUUAGCAAGCACAGUUUGUGACAUUCCACAACAUCAUUGCUGAUCAUCUGGUACAUCUGUUUAAGCUUCCAAUUUUCCAGCUCUUGGGAGCCUGAGCGAACAUGAAAUAGCCUUAACUCUGAUCUUAAACUGGCAGGGUUUUUGAAAUCACUGGUUUUUAUUUAUUAACUUCAUCCAAACACAUCAGCAAAACUCCACUGAAUUCUUUCUGGUCUUACAAGGAAGUAUUUAGGACUGCCGCCUUAUAGUCAGUAAAUAUUUCCUACUCAUUAAAGCAGGGAAAGAAAGAGGAUCUCAGAUUUCCUUAACAUCUGAGAGCAACAUGUGGCAUUUGAAUGCUGGGUAGCUUGAGG